AGAGUUUGAUCAUGGCUCAGAACGAACGCUGGCGGCAGGCCUAACACAUGCAAGUCGAGCGAGAUCUUCGGGUCUAGCGGCGGACGGGUGAGUAACGCGUGGGAAUAUGCCCUUCUCUACGGAAUAGCCUCGGGAAACUGAGAGUAAUACCGUAUACGCCCUUUGGGGGAAAGAUUUAUCGGAGAAGGAUUAGCCCGCGUUGGAUUAGGUAGUUGGUGGGGUAAUGGCCUACCAAGCCGACGAUCCAUAGCUGGUUUGAGAGGAUGAUCAGCCACACUGGGACUGAGACACGGCCCAGACUCCUACGGGAGGCAGCAGUGGGGAAUCUUAGACAAUGGGCGCAAGCCUGAUCUAGCCAUGCCGCGUGAGUGAUGAAGGCCCUAGGGUUGUAAAGCUCUUUCACCGAUGAAGAUAAUGACGGUAGUUGGAGAAGAAGCCCCGGCUAACUUCGUGCCAGCAGCCGCGGUAAUA
rnacentral:rRNA from 1 species